GACGAACCGUGCGAACGUUGUUCGGAUUCAUUGGGCGUAAAGCGCACGUAGGCGGCUUUCUAAGUCGGGGGUGAAAUCCUGGAGCUCAACUCCAGAACUGCCUUCGAUACUGGAGAGCUCGAGUCCGGGAGAGGUGAGUGGAACUGCGAGUGUAGAGGUGAAAUUCGUAGAUAUUCGCAAGAACACCAGUGGCGAAGGCGGCUCACUGGCCCGGUACUGACGCUGAGGUGCGAAAGCGUGGGGAGCAGACAGG
rnacentral:rRNA from 1 species